AUUUUUCUAGUAUAUAAGUACAUUUGACUUCCAAUCAAAAAGUUUGAAUCAUCAAGAAAAAUA
rnacentral:tRNA from 2 species